GACGAACGCUGGUGGCGUGCUUAACACAUGCAAGUCGAACGGAAAGGCCCUGCUUUUGUGGGGUGCUCGAGUGGCGAACGGGUGAGUAACACGUGAGUAACCUGCCCUUGACUUUGGGAUAACUUCAGGAAACUGGGGCUAAUACCGGAUAGGAGCUCCUGCUGCAUGGUGGGGGUUGGAAAGUUUCGGCGGUUGGGGAUGGACUCGCGGCUUAUCAGCUUGUUGGUGGGGUAGUGGCUUACCAAGGCUUUGACGGGUAGCCGGCCUGAGAGGGUGACCGGCCACGCUGGGACUGAGAUGCGGCCCAGACUCCUACGGGAGGCAGCAGUGGGGAAUAUUGCACAAUGGGCGGAAGCCUGAUGCAGCAACGCCGCGUGCGGGAUGACGGCCUUCGGGUUGUAAACCGCUUUCGCCUGUGACGAAGCGUGAGUGACGGUAAUGGGUAAAGAAGCACCGGCUAACUACGUG
rnacentral:rRNA from 1 species